UGGGGAAUUUUGGACAAUGGGCGCAAGCCUGAUCCAGCCAUGCCGCGUGAGUGAUGAAGGCCCUAGGGUUGUAAAGCUCUUUCACCGGUGAAGAUAAUGACGGUAACCGGAGAAGAAGCCCCGGCUAACUUCGUGCCAGCAGCCGCGGUAAUACGAAGGGGGCUAGCGUUGUUCGGAUUUACUGGGCGUAAAGCGCACGUAGGCGGACUAUUAAGUCAGGGGUGAAAUCCCGGGGCUCAACCCCGGAACUGCCUUUGAUACUGGUAGUCUUGAGUUCGAGAGAGGUGAGUGGAAUUCCGAGUGGAGAGGUGAAAUUCGUAGAUAUUCGGAGGAACACCAGUGGCGAAGGCGGCUCACUGGCUCGAUACUGACGCUGAGGUGCGAAAGCGGGGGGAGCAAACAGG
rnacentral:rRNA from 1 species